UGGGGAAUAUUGGACAAUGGGCGAAAGCCUGAUCCAGCCAUGCCGCGUGUGUGAAGAAGGUCUUCGGAUUGUAAAGCACUUUAAGUUGGGAGGAAGGGCAGUAAGCGAAUACCUUGCUGUUUUGACGUUACCGACAGAAUAAGCACCGGCUAACUCUGUGCUAGCAGCCGCGGUAAUACAGAGGGUGCGAGCGUUAAUCGGAUUUACUGGGCGUAAGGCGUGCGUAGGCGGCUAAUUGAGUAGGAUGUGAAAUCCCCGAGCUUAACUUAGGAAUUGCAUUCGAUACUGGUUAGCUAGAGUGUGGGAGAGGAUGGUAGAAUUACAGGUGUAGCGGUGAAAUGCGUAGGGAUCUGGAGGAAUACCGAUGGCGGAGGCAGCCAUCUGGCCUAACACUGACGCUGAGGUACGAAAGCAUGGGGGGCAAACAGG
rnacentral:rRNA from 1 species